rnacentral:rRNA from 1 species
GAUCCUGGCUCAGAAUCAACGCUGGCGGCGUGCCUAACACAUGCAAGUCGAGCGAGAAAGUGGAGCAAUCCAUGAGUAAAGCGGCGCACGGGUGAGUAACACGUGACUAACCUACCCUUGAGUGGGGAAUAACCUGGGGAAACCCGGGCUAAUACCGCAUAACACCUACGGGUCRAAGGAGCAAUUCGCUUAAGGAGGGGGUCGCGGCAGAUUAGUUAGUUGGCGGGGUAAUGGCCCACCAAGACGAUGAUCUGUAUCCGGCCUGAGAGGGCGCACGGACACACUGGAACUGAAACACGGUCCAGACUCCUACGGGAGGCAGCAG